UGCCUGGAUUUUGAUUUGUGGAAUUUGGGUUUUGUAGGCCGAUACAGAUUCCAUGGUAGUUUUUCGUAUUCGAGUUCGUCUUUGUCGAUCUUUCAAGCAGUAGCUACUCUUACAAGGCUGGGAACACCAAGUUAUGAGUGCCGAUGGAGUUCAUGCCAGUCAUAAGGAUUAGGCUGAAAGCAGACUGAAUUGUGAAUACUUGAAAAGAAGUUGUGAGAAUCUAACUGAAGGACUAUUAUAGUGAAUAUCCAGUAACUCUUCCUUUGAGGAGACCAUAUUUAGGAAAUCCAGGAUGCUUCCAAUGUACAAUACAUAGUUAUUGGUGGAAAAUUUCGUACCAAGCUAUCCACGAUAGUUUUCCAAAAUAUGCCAAAUAGUCUUUUGUGGGAAACACAUGAGUUCAAUAUGCAGUUCCUAUAAAAGAGUUUACCCUGCUAGAUACUACUCAGCUGAUGAGUUGCCUAACUACAUGCUGCUAUCUCUUAAGUUUUUUUGCUUUGAUGAAUCACUAUUAGUAUAUAAGGAUGUGUCUCUGAUUUCUGAAAUUGUGUUCCUCCUUAUCAUCCUCAUGUCUGAAUCAUGCUUAUUUUGGAUUGAAAUAGAAUAUAACUGGAUAAUGGUGUUGAUGGGUGGUGAUGUGAAAAAUGGUUCUCUAGAGAUUGUAGCGUGAAAGAGAAGAAGUUGAUUUGAUGGAGAUUAUGGAGGGUAGAAGGAGUGUAGUGUACCCUCCUCCCCUAAAUGAAGCUCUACUUUUUAUGUGUAAGAGGGGGAAGCAAGAACAGAUAGAGAGGAGUUUUUUUUUCCGUGCAUCAUCACUCUCUUCAACAGCAAUAACUCAUUUGGUUGCUAGGCUUUCACCUUACAACUACCUUUUUCAUUUGAAAAUAAUCAGCUAAUAUAAGCUUAUUAUUAUAAGUGAUCAUAAGUAGUCCUUUCAGUUGUUUGGUCCUUUAUUUGUUUAACUUUGGCACUGAAAUUGUAAUUUUGUGUUCAUGGCUCCUUUCAGUUGUUUGGUCCUUUAUUUCCUAAGCUUUGGCACUGAAAUUAUAAUUUUGUGUUCAUGGCAGGUGUGCAGGGGUCACUUAGAAUAUGAGAUUGCUAUUAAUAAUUUUGUGUUCAUGGACGCGUUGUUAAUGUUGGGGAUGACUCUAACGGUUCUCUCCCAGUCAAGCGCCCUUCCCCUCCUGAGGUUGAAGCUAAGGGUCUUUCUGGUGCAGAAAAGAUGUUAGACCCAAGUUUUUAAGUUUAGAAUAAGGGAAUAAAAUUUCUAUUCACGAUUAGGUUUGAUGUAUCGUGAAAGAAAACCUGAACAAGUGUUUAUUGAAUGGAAUAAAUUUAUGAAGGAGAAAGUUCAG